AACAGGACAUGUGUAUUCUAAUGAUAUAAUUAGAUAUGACCUUAUUUGACCAAGUGAAAUAAUGAUUUUAACCUUUGGCUGUGACUAAAAUACAUUCACAGACGGUCAGCUGUACUAGAUGCAGCUGAUUCCACUGAGGCAGUGUUGCCCCGACUUUGUUCUGGACGUGAUAAUAUGAAGCACCGAGGAUCACAGGAGGAUAUGUGGACAUUUGAAAGAGAUUCAGCCUCGGCCAAGUUAUCCACGGCAAUGGCCAGGAAGACGUUCAGCAGGAUGACUGGGCAGUGGGUCAAGUCAAAUACAAGUCCAACGAUUACACACAAUGGUUUACAGACAACCGUUGUCCCAGUUGUCUGUCAGAUUUGGAGAAUUUUUGCAGGACUAACGCUUUGAAACACAGCAGAUGUGAGGCAACCCCACGCCGUUGGCCAGGGUCCAGCCGCUUCAGCACCCUCCCCGUGGACGGGUAGUGGAAGGAAGAUACAUCCCCCUCCACCCAGCUGCACUAGAUGGAGCAUCAAGCAGGCCCAGGCAAUCAAGGACAUUGGGGGCACCGGGGGGACGGGGACGGGAGAGACGGGGGAAAAAGA